UAGGGAAUCUUCGGCAAUGGACGAAAGCCUGACCGAGCAACGCCGCGUGAGUGAAGAAGGUCUUCGGAUCGUAAAACUCUUUUGUUAGAGAAGAACAAGGACGUUAGUAACUGAACGUCCCCUGACGGUACCUAACCAGAACGCCACGGCUAACUACGUGCCAGCAGCCGCGGUAAUACGUAGGUGGCAAGCGUUGUCCGGAUUUAUUGGGCGUAAAGCGAGCGCAGGCGGUUUGUUAAGUCUGAUGUGAAAGCCCCCGGCUCAACCGGGGAGGGUCAGUGGAAACUGGGAGACUAGAGUGCAGAAGAGGAGGGAGGAAUUCCAAGUGUAGCGGUGAAAUGCGUAGAUAUAUGGAGGAACACCAGUGGCGAAGGCGGCUCACUGGGCUGUAACUGACGCUGAGGCUCGAAAGCGUGGGGAGCAAACAGG
rnacentral:rRNA from 1 species